AUCCAGUGUAUCAGCAUAUGCAGAGAAUGUACGUACCACAGCAAAAGGCUGUCUGGACCUCUUUAAAGUCAUCUCUCACAUCAUUAGGAUCUUUUUGUUUACAAAGCCCUGCUCCACAAGCUUCCAACUUACCUAACUUCACUGUUAAGAUUUAGAAUGACAAGUUAUCAAAGCCGUUCACAGGGUUGGUUUACUCUGGAGACUGUUUUGGUGUCUAGAGAGUUAGGUCAAUCAGCCUUUCACUUCCUAGCACUGUGUGUUUGGAUUCAUCUCCAAAAGACGUUUUGAUUGGAUGCUUUGGUGUCGCUAAGACAAUUCAGACAGCUGACAGAGGAUUUUAUCAUGCUGAAUGUGUUUGUUUUAAAUUACUGUGUUCUUAAUGUGUAUUUCAUGUGUUUAUUGUGUAUAUUUAUGUAUCUACUGAAUAGUUGCCUAUUGAUGUGUUCCUUUUUGUAUUGUGCUGAGCUUAUUUGCCAAAGAGAGACUUUAGUCUCAAUAUGAGUUCCCUGUUGAAAUAAAGGGCAAUAAAACACACAUUGACACUGGAAUUGCCACAAUUGAUCCACAUUCUAGUGAGCAAAACAGCACUAUAGCCAGCAAACCAAAUCCAAGGUGAGUGUAUGGUGAGAGAUUCAAAGGGACAUACACAACAAGGCUUCCCAUCCCUGUAGCUGUGGGGAGCUAUCACACAACAGCAGAGUGUUUAGAAAUGCCUUAAAAACCAUUUGAAGAUGUAUUAGUGGUUCCUCCAUUGCUGCCAAUGGAAGCCCAAUGAGAAGUACAUGGGUGUUUUUUUAGCAUCUCCAAAUUCCCAGCGUUGCUAAGGUGCUUUGGGGAAAGGAUUAGACAGUGCUGGCAGAGGGGAGCAAGCCUUGCUGAUUUCCUACCAGCAAGAGGAGACAAAGAAGGAAGGAGAGAGAGGAGGAGGAGAAUACGUGAGGGGGAAUGAAGGGAGCAGGAAGAACAGGUUGUAUAAACAUGAGUCGAGAAGAGAGAACAGAGCGACUCUAAACAGUAAUUAACACAGAGGAAAGGAAGGUUUCACCGUCUCACCACCAAUGGUGUGAGACCUGUCACCGUGGUCGUGCUCGCACACACGCACGCGGGCACACACACACACAAAUGUGCUCUUUUUACCUCUUCAGGCACUCUUACUCAAGACAAUCGCACAACUUAUUCUCUUGCAGUGACAUCACAAUAAGGUAAGGUCAUGUAAGCUGUUAGAGGUGACAUCACAAUAAGGUAAGGUCAUGUAAACUCUUAGAGAUGACAUCACAAUAAGGUAAGAUCAUGUAAGCUGUUAGAGGUGUCAUCACAAUAAGGUAAGGUCAUGUAAGCUGUUAGAGAUGACAUCACAAUAAGGUAAGGUCAUGUAAACUGUUACAGAGGUGACAUCACAAUAAGUUAAGGUCAUGUAAACUGUUACAGAGGUGUCAUCACAAUAAGUUAAGGUCAUGUAAACUGUUACAGAGGUGUCAUCACAAUAAGGUAAGGUCAUGUAAACUGUUACAGAGGUGACAUCACAAUAAGGUAAGGUCAUGUAAACUGUUAGAGGUGACAUUACAAUAAGGUAAGGUCAUGUAAACUCUUAGAGAUGACAUCACAAUAAGGUAAGGUCAUGUAAACUGUUAGAGGUGACAUUACAAUAAGGUAAGGUCAUGUAAACUCUUAGAGGUGACAUUACAAUAAGGUAAGGUCAUGUAAACUCUUAGAGGUGUCAUCACAAUAAGGUAAGGUCAUGUAAACUCUUAGAGGUGACAUCACAAUAAGGUAAGGUCAUGUAAACUGUUACAGAGGUGUCAUCACAAUAAGGUAAGAUCAUGUAAACUGUUACAGAGGUGACAUCACAAUAAGGUAAGGUCAUGUAAACUGUUACAGAGGUGACAUCACAAUAAGUUAAGGUCAUGUAAACUGUUACAGAGAUGACAUCACAAUAAGGUAAGGUCAUGUAAACUGUUACAGAGGUGACAUCACAAUAAGGUCUAUGUAAGGUCAUGUAAACUGUUCUACUCAUCUAUUUCAUCAUUCAUCCGUUUUCUCAACAGGUUAACAGACAGCACAAGUCAGAGAGCUUGUCCAGGGCCAAGGGGGUCAGACCAAGCCGGCAGGCCUCUUUGGAAAGGAGACGAGCAGAAGGAUCCAUUUCAUACUAUUGAGAUGAACCGUGGGUAGAGAGAAAGCACUGUAACAGUUCCUAUGUGCUGUGAAGUAACACUAUCCCCUCUUGAGUGAAGAACCCAUGAAAUGUACCUAUGGAGAACCACGACACAGGAUGUCACCUAAAGUAUUGAAACAGGGCAGGGAGAUGGAGAGAGUACAGAUGUGGAAACGUAUAGAUCACCCAACGUCAAGACUGAUGUGUUACUCCACAAUUGGCGUCUUCAUAGUGCAGUGACUCUGACUGGGUAAACUCCCAGCCCCCGGCUUCUCUCUCUCUCUCUCUACACAACACUGCAAAAAAAAUUGAAAUAUCUUUGUUUUGAAUCUGAUGAUAACUGUUUAUUUUCCAAGCUGUCGAGAAAAAGUCUCCCUCCUGACUUCCUCUUGGGGGUUUUUAGACUCCUAAAGCGGUGCAAUAAAACAACGCCUCACUUUCCUCUCAUCACGGUGCUACUAACACACAGCCUGACAAUAAUAUGUGUGUUCGCUGGUGUUAAAACAAUGCCUCACUUUCCUCUCAUCACGGUGCUACUAACACACAGCCUGACAAUAAUGUGUGUGUUCGCUGGUAAUAAAACAACGCCUCACUUUCCUCUCAUCACGGUGCUACUAACACACAGCCUGACAAUAAUGUGUGUGUUCGCUGGUAAUAAAACAACGCCUCACUUUCCUCUCAUCACGGUGCUACUAACACACAGCCUGACAAUAAUGUGUGUGUUCGCUGGUAAUAAAACAACGCCUCACUUUCCUCUCAUCACGGUGCUACUAACACACAGCCUGACAAUAAUGUAUGUUGGUGAUAAAACAUAAAACCUCCCGGUACUCCCCUGUGACUUCCUGACUAACACAGACAGCCAGAAGAGUCACAUUCCACACAACGCUAUCAAUAAAAUCAUUUAUUCUG